GCCUACGACCACAUCACGUUGAAAACACCGGUUCUCGUCUGAUCACCGAAGUAAAGCAACAUUGAGUAUGGUCAGUACCUGGAUGGGUGACCGCCUGGGAACACCGUAUGUUGUAGGCG